rnacentral:lncRNA from 1 species
CCGCCACUCACAAAUGCAGGUGCCGAGCCAGACAGCAGGUGCGUGACCAAGGAAGAGGAGACCCACCCUGUGUAUGUCAUGCUAAUUGUGACACUUUCCGGGUCACAGUGCAGCCAGCAAUACUGUCCCUCUGUGCCCUUUGUAUUCCUGGAGGAAGGAGCUUCUCAGGCUGGCGACUUCUGCGGCUGUCCUGCCCUCUGCUGGCCAGCGAGGCUGACGCACCGCGGAGCUCCACACGUCCAGGAUGACGCCAACUGCUUACCACUAGGGAAGACUUAACUUCUCAAGACUAUUACAUUUUAAAACAGAGACUCAGUCGUUUUCUGACCAGCAUCUGUAAUGGCUCCGUGAACUCUCUCAUGCCGGAGGCCCUUCAGUCUCAUGCGUUCUGGCUGAAGUGAAGAUGGAGACGUGGAGUAGGAAUGUCACGUGACACAAGCUGCAUGGGGAAGUCAUACUUCUUCGAGGUCACAGGGCCUCGGAGUCUGAUUUUGAAGGCCCUACGAAUUCCUCAUGCUGUGGCCCCAGAACAAUGAGGGGAUGUACACGGGUCCCAGCUGACCCGCCCAGCCUCACCCUCCGCCAAAUGCUGCCCAGGGCUGGUAACAAAGGGCCCUCACAGUUUUCCCUGCCCUCCGCCUACUGGCAUCUGAUCCCAGUCAGCAAAUGUUUAGCUACUGUUCAGUCAAAACAUGUUUAUUUUCUCUUGGAUCCACAGCUAAGAAUUGUCCACCAACCUGCUGUAGGCCCUGGGAAGAGGCUGUCACCGAAUAUGAGUUCCAGGCUCCUUUCAAUGUUUAAU